CACUGAUUCAAAGCACUCUCAGCCACUCAUUAGUGCAGUGGUUCACCAAAGGUGGUCCUGGGACCAGCAGCAUCAGCGUCACCUGGGAAUUGUUAGAAAUGCAAAUUCUUAGAUUCCCUCCAAGCCUACUAAGUUAGGUGGAUCCCAGCAAUCUGUGUUUUAACAAGCUCUCCAGGUGAUUCUGAGAAACACAGCUCUAGAAGGAGCCCAGGUGAACGUUGAAAAGGGUAGUAAGCAAGAGCUGGCAGUCUUUCUGGGUUGCAAUGAGAGUCGUGGGGAGGCUGGGGAGGUAUGUCCUGGCCUGUCUGGGGUAUUGGCUUUGAAGAGGCCCUAAGGCAUCUUUCCAGUGUAUGUUGCAUCCUAGGAGGAGAAGUCCCAUCCAGAAAGAGGAGCCAUGGCCAACCAAGGAUAGCAGGGCAUCCCGGACCCAAAGAGAUCCAGAUCCUGGGCCCUGCUGUGUGAAAUGAGUUACAAAAAUAGAAGAGAAAGGUCGAAAUUGAGCCUCCGUGUAAAAUCACAUUAUCAUUGAUCUGGUGGUCACAGGAGAUAUGCUGUAAGCUAUUUUUCCAGCAAGUGGAAAAAACCAAGCUGCCCUGUGGCCUCCCUUUGCGCAGGGCAUCUCAUGCCUGGGGCACCUUCCUCUCUAGGGGGUUGGCAUCCCUUGGCCUCCUACUUUCCUCUCCCCACAGACGGGAACAGGGGUGUGGUGUGCUUGUCCCUCUGGUUUUGAGAGCACAGAGCACUAAAUGGUCUGGGCAGGGCCAGCUCUGUGGGCAUGUGACCUGUGAGUCACACAGAGCCCACGCUCAGAAGAGCCUAUGCUUGGUUUAAUGCCCUGCUGUCACUAUCUUAAAAUUCUCAAUUUUUCAACAAGGGGCCUCGUAUUUUAAUUUUGCGCUGGACUUAAUGCAACUGGUUCCGCAUCUUGGUCAGGAUGGGGUAGCCCUGGCUUGGGGGACUUGUCCAGCUGCACUGUGGUGGACCCAGGUCCAUUUCAACCUUUGAAAUCAAGUGU
rnacentral:lncRNA from 1 species